CGGGGGCGAGGGGAGCGCAGGCGGCCCAGCGCAACUUUCCGCCGGCGAGAGGCGAGGCUUGGGGCUUUGCCUUCUAAGGGAAAGGCAACCCUGGGGCGGAGCCGCGGCCAGAGCUUCCCCCGCCGCCUCCCGGCUUAAGGACGGCCGAGCGAGUUCCCGGUCUGACCCAGGGCUGGCUGCUGUGGGUGGAUACUCGGAUUUGCAUUGUAUUGAAGACACUGCAAAUAUCUUCUGCAACUCUGGGGUUUGCUGCUGCUUAUAUUGAGCUGCAGUUUUCUCCAUGAAGUCCGAUUGCAGUCUUCUUUCUUACGGGUCAGAGCUCGUUUCUUCCAAGUGGAUGAAGGUCCAGGAGCCCUGCGACUGUUGUCUGAAAGCGCCGUCAUUUUUCCGGCCUGGCAGUUGGUCCAGCUUUUCCCGCUGAAGAGGCCUGAGCUUUUCCAGGACUUUAAACUCGACGCUGAAGCUGGUCUGAGUCCGUGUGUCCAGAUCCCCCCUUGACCUCAACCCCUCACAUUCCCAAUUACUUGGCGUAGGUAUUGGCACCUGGCACAGUCAUUUCCACUUUUAUGCAAUUUUUGUGCAUUAUUAUUUUAAUAAAAAUUAUGCAUGUCUAUGAUUUAAA